GCCAUUGAUCUAAAAUGUAAAAAAAUCAGAUCACUUUCCUCCUAAGGGGAAGGCCUGUGGUUCGAAUCCACAUGGGGGCGCCA
rnacentral:tRNA from 1 species